UUCAGAGAGACAGAUAAACAGCAAGCAUUUGCUCUUUAAGGGUUGUUCCAACUGUGAACUAUGUCAAAUUCUGAAAUAAGCUGGAUAGUGGCCCUUGUUAUCCUGUUUCCGUAGCACUUAGAGACCUCUGAGACAAGAGAUUUUCUCCCCCUGAAGAUAUUUGUUAUUGCUCUGUGUCUGAAGCCCAAACACCUCCUCUGCAGCUGCACUGUAACAAAAACAAACCAUACAUUCCAGUGGAUCAGUGAUUGCUGCAAGAUGUACAGCAAUGUGAAUCGUAUGAGAAAACUGCUUUCUGGAUGUUAUUUGAACUAGCAGCUGUCCAGAAUCCUCAGCUCACCUCUUACCAAGAAAGAGCAUGUCAGAUAAGAAAAAGAGGGAAAAAAUAA